AUCCUGCGGGAUGGCAGUGCGCUCAGGUCCCGCUCUGGUCGCUACCUGCGCUGCCCGGGGCACGGCAUCCACUCGCCCGGCCUCACGCUCCGCCCUUCGCCGGCAGGUGUGCAAAGCCUGACCGGCCGAGGCUGCCAUUUCCGCGGCCUGCGACCCGCCGCCCGCGGCAGCUCGAAGCUGGUGGCUGAACCAGAACUUCGGGCGCCUCUUUCCCGCUAGGACGCUGCCUGCACCGCGUGCCAGGGCGGCGGGCAGGUGUCCUCCGGGAGGAGCCUCUGGGACCCGCGGCGGGCAGGGAUGGCGUGCAGCAACCCGUGUCUUUCUUACCUUUGUCCCUGUGGUGUCCGCUGAUGGGGACUGGGUGCCGCGGCCCACCCAGGCCGGCCUGCCGCCCGGAGCGCCCUGGAGCUGGGUAGGAGCGGCGGUUGAGCGCGUGAGUGGAUCUGCACCCACCUGUCCGCUGGCGCGGGGUGGGGGCCAGGAUUUUUAGACCGUGAGGAGCAAUUGGAGCUAAUCCACAUUGUGGGAAUGGAAACCACCGAACCUGAGCCAGACAGUGCAGUGCAGCCUGCUUCUUGUCCUGAUGACCUUUCAUGCCAAAUGAGACUCUUUGAGAAGAUCACUCCAUUGAAGACUGUUCUAUGAAAAAGCAGGAUCAGGAGAGAUUGGGAACUCAAACCCUAAAGUCUUUGAGACCAAUAUUAAACACUUUGCUAGAAUCUGGAUCACUUCAUGGGGAUUUUAGAUCUGAAGACCAGAGUGGAGAUGAGAGCAGUUUACAUGAACCUAUGUGAAAAAACCUCUGAAAAUUAAUCCAUCAUGUCCAACAGAAGAAAAUAAUGUGUCUGUCCUGAUUCCUGUGGGGGGCCAAAUACCAGAAGCCCAUCUUUCCACUGAUGUUCCAGAAAAAGCGGUUCCAAUCCAAAUCACACCUUUCCACCAGAAACCAUGAGUGAGACAGUGUUUCAUUCGACCACAAGGCACUUCCAGACUGAACUUUUUUAAAAAUUUAUUUAUUUGUUCUAAUUAGUCAUACAUGUCAGCAGAAUUCAUUUUGAUUCAUAGUACACAAAUGGAGCACAACUUUUUAUUUCUCUGGUUGUACACAAAGUAGAGUCACAUCAUUCAUGUCAUCAUAUAUGUACCUAGGGUAAUGAUGUGCAUCUCAUUCCAUCAUCUUUCCUACCCCCUUGCCUCUCCCUUUCCAUCCCUCCCCUUUGCCCUAUCUAAAGUUCAUCCAUUCCUCCCUUGCCCCCUCCCCCAUUAUGGAUCAGCAUCUACUUAUCAGAGAAAACAUUCACAUUCAGUUUCAAGUGAUAUUCCUACUAGCCCUGACUGCAUAAAGUAAUGGAUUGAUUAUAUUCCAGGGAUUUUCCAAGACAACAGAUUUAUAAUCCAGUAUAUUUGGACAUCAGUGAUAAAUUGAGUACUGAGCUCUUCCAGGACAAAAGUGAGGAGGCUUCCCUUGACCUUGUGUUUGAGCUGGUAAGUCAGCUACAGUGUCACACUCACAAAGAGAAUGGAAUUGAAAUUUGCAUGGAGUUUCUGCAAGGCACUUAUAUUUAUGGCAGGAAUUGUUUGAAGCAUCACACUGUGUUGCUAUAUCAUGGGCAGAUCAAGAGCACAACUGCUCAGAAGUGGCAAAGUAUUCUAUGAUUCUCAGGAAUAUUCAGAAAAAUUUUAUUGUAACCCAGAAAAAGAUAGAAUGAGAAAGAAGUGUGGGUAUGUAUUAUAACAACUUGUAAAAACUGUUAAAUUCUGUAGAGAAAGUAAAAAGGCAAAAGUAAAGUAGUUUCAGUAAAAAAGAAAAAAAAAUUAUUGAAAUAGCCAUAAUGUUACCCAAAUUAAUAAUUUGUAAGUGUACAUGUUAGUGGUAUUGAGUCCUCAAAUCUUUGGACAUAAUCAGCAGCAAGAUCAUGAUAUUGACAUUUCCCACUGCCACUCAUCAUUGAACAUGGGAAUUCUCAGUAGGGCAUUUAGACAAGAACUAUACCAGAGAUAGGGGAAGAAAUUGCUUUAUCUCUACUCUCAGAAGACAGGAUCCUACACUUCAAAUUCCCACAAGAUUUCUCAAGAAAACCCAGGGUAUUAAUAAUUAAUUUCUGCAUAGUUGCUAUAAAUAAGUUUAUAUAUCGGCAAUGACAAAUACACAAAGAAAUUUAGAAUAGCAUUUCCAAUAGCAUGUAAAAAGCACAUAUUUCUAUGGAAAUUUACCCAGGGAAAUAAGGCUUAUAUAAUUAAAUGAAUACAUUACUGGGGAAAAAAAAAAAGCUCCAAAUAGAGUUUUCUCAAAUAGCACAGAAAAAUACUUAUAGAGAGAAAAAAUCACCAUGAGACCUGUACAAAAAUUCCAUAAAAUUCAACAAAAGUAGAAAACCUAUGGCUGAGUAAAGCUGAGGACAUACUGGUAUGAAUGUGGGAGAUGUGAGCAAAAAGUAAGUAGGCAGAGAACAACACAGGCUGUACGACCUGAAUGAAGAAAUACAUUACACAAGAUCUGGAAUGUUGCUACCUGUCCUUUGGUUUUGCAUUAUACUCAAAAAUAAAAGUACUGUGCUGGCACAUGAGCUUUCUAAAUUUCUUAUAUAUGGAUAGGAUUUAAACAUGAAAAUAGACUUAAAACAUAAGUAAAUAUUGUAGAAUUUCAAGCAAAAUCAAUUUGUAGAAAUGGUAAGCAUCAUUUAGGGAAUUUGCAUACUCCUUCAGGUGCCCUGGGCCUCUCAGUGCCCAAGAGCAACCCUCGCUGCUAUCCUCCCUGCUCAGUGCAUGCCCAAGGAGAUAGAAUUUAUUCUGAAGCAGCUCCAGAGCAUGGAUGGCCAUGGCUUAUGGUGGCUGUUUGCAGAAUUUCUGUGUAGCCAAGGCUGCAGACACAGGUGACUUCAGGGUUUUUCCAUGGUGAGAUCUCUCCACAUUGCCUUCCCCCAUCCCUUCCUCCUCCUGUUCCUCCUGUAUCUAGAGUGGGCCAGGACACCAUAGCUCCUCACAAAAGCAGCAGCAGGAUUCCUCGCCUACUCCUUGCUUCUCAGCCCAUAAGCCUUGCAUUUCUUCAGGGCUCCCCAUGGACCUUUGGUGCUAGCGUCUUUUUCCCUGGGAGUGCCUUGUCCAGCUGAAAAAACCUAUUGCUCUUCACUGAGCUCAACCAGAACAAGACCACUAGCAAGCUAUUAUGGUCUAGUUGGGACGCCAAGCUGAGCCAGUUUGUACCCUAGCAGCCUGAGGACAUUUCCCUGAUCCUUGUUGCCCUCUCCAGUUAGGGACUUGCCGCACCUGGCCUCUUCUUCCAUUUGCAGCCAUAGUAGCUGCAGCUGCAGAGACAGACAGUAACUGGUCUAUGUGCCUAGCACCCACUGCUGUCUGUCUGGCCUAUCUUCAGUGGGGACCCUGGUUGGCCCCAAGCCUCAGCCCACAGUCCCCCAUAAGGCAGAAGAAGCAGUGUAGCCAGUGGUUGGGCCAAAAGAGCCUGAUUUUCCUGGCUAGGCUGAGUUGUACACCUUGGUGCUUCCCCUACUGGCCGAGCCCUCCCAUGGUGCAUGGCACAGCACAAGAUCCUGGGGGCUACACUGUGGUGGGAAGCAGGGGCUCUGGCAGCAUGAGAGGCAGUGGCAGGUGCAUCUUGGCACCCAUGAACAGCCAGGAGCACAAGUACACAGUGUCUAUGGCAUGGCCCCAGACAUACCACCAUUACCACCACCAAUACUGAGUCCAUACUCACUCUACAUGGGUGCACCACUGAUACCUGCCUGGCCACCUGGAGCCCUACACCUGGUACCUGAGUACCCCAUGCAGACAUGCUGGAGAAUCUGGCAGAGAGCCCCUAGUGUGUGAAUUGUGGCUUCUGUGGACAUCUGGAGGACACUGGCCAUUGCCCAAGCAAAGUAUGUGGCUCUUACAACAAGAUGAAUGGCCUCAGCUGACUCCCCAUGAGCCAGAAGCAUGUGCCUCCACCAUGGAGACUUAGACUAUCUGUGCCAACUGGCACACCACAACCACCGUAUGGUGCAGAAACUUUCAGGGUGAAACUGUAUGUAAUGCUUUUGCACUCGAAACUCAUGGGGUGCUUUGACCACUUGAUAUGAAAAAAAAGGAGUUCAAACCAGGAAACAAAGACAUAAAUAAGUCAAAGACUUGCUCUGGUAAUAACAAUAAUUGCAUUUCUGUGACUCCAACUUCCACCUCUUCUAAGAGGAUUGCAGCAAAAAUAUUUCUUCUCCAACACAUCCAACAGCCUCAGGUACAGGUGCCCCAGUAAUGGCUGGUGCAGGAGGGGCACCAAUCCCAGAACAGCAAGCUCAGGUAUUCCAGUCAAGAUGGGUGGGCUCUACAUAGACAUCAAUCUGGCCUUGCUUGCUGGUGUCGCAUCCUUACAGCAACAGGAUUUCAGGUAUGCUCUGGCCCUGGCCUGAGCCCCUGCUGCCAGGAGGCAGGGAGAACACCACUGAAGAAGUCCUUGUGCCUUUCAUGUGUGAUUUUGUCCAGUAGCCCUGACAGUGGUGAAUGCCAACAGAACAUUGCUCCAAUGUGUGAUUUCUGUGCCUUUGAGUCUAAAAGUGAUGUGUUUCCCCAGGAGGCUUGCUGAAGAGUAAAAGAAGAUGAGGCUCCUCUGGAGAAGGGUCAGUGCAGCAGAAACAUGGUGAGCUCCAUCCACCCAGGGCCACCUCCAGCCAGCCUGCCUCUGGGUUGGCUCCUGCACUGCUUGCAGAAACUGGGACUGGGAUGAGGGCCUUGCCUGCUAAGGAAGAUGGAGAGAUAUCCUUUAAAACAAGGUUUCAUGUGUAUAACCUCAAGUCUUGUGUUUCUUCUGAUUGAUUCUGGUUAUUCCAGAAUUUCUGCAUGUCUGUUCCAUAUGCAGAUUUCACAAGCAUUCGUUGAGAAGAUCAUUGAAGGCCACCUGGGACAUAUCUUAGAAAAUGAGGGAUUCUCCACACUUGGAGUGCUGAGAUUGCCUGGAGUGGUUGGUAGGGAGAAGAGUCUAAAGUGGUUGAGUUCAUCCAGGAUAUUGCAGGCUGUGGACCACACUUGAGAAGCAAACACAGAGCCACUGAACCAGAACUUAUUUGUGGAUGAGACAUCCAAGAGUCUAACAUGAAACUCUUUCAGUACCUACAGACUCACCAGUGUGGCCUGGAAUUUGUUUCUUGAAUAUAUCAUCUGAUUUGGGACUUUGCAGUGAAAGUUUAGAAUAGGGCUCUAUCUCCCCUGUGUGCUGAGCUCUAUUUCCUUUUCAUAGUGACUGUGACCUGGAUGUUGACAAGUCUACACAUGAAAAAGCUCAAUUUCUAAAGCAGGCACUGGAAAAGAUUAGCAGCAAUAACUUAUAGUGAAAUCACACAAUAAUAACAAUACACUAUAAUAAAAUUAAUCUGAAUGUAGACUUUCUAUCUGAGAAUAAGACAAGCAAUAUUUUUGUAGCUCUGCUGAUCACAGGUAACUGAAGCCUUGGAAAGCAAAGCUGUGGG